rnacentral:misc_RNA from 1 species
CCUCCUCCUCCUCCUCCUCCUCCCUGGGACAUGAGUGGAGCUGGCUUGUAAUUAUGAUAUUUAUUAUUUAUUGUCAUUGUUAAGCAAGGAAAGUUGAGAUGGGGAUUUAUGUCUACCCAUAAAGCUGGUUAUGUAAAUGGCUUCAAGAGUGUUCAAUCUCAGCCUUUACGACGCUCUUUUAUCUUUCCAACGACCCACCCGUUCUGAGUGUCAGUGUGAACUGUGAAGACGGAUGGAUGGAUGGAUGGAUUGUUAACAAGCAACAGAUGGCUUUAGAUCCAGUGAUCCACAAAAUAUAUAUUGGAAAAUCGUACGGAUCCUAUGUGUAUUAAAUAAUGAAACUCACAUGAAGUAAUGGUUUAUAUGCGGGCAAUCUUUCUUUCUUUCUUUGUUUAGGCUUUUUGGGUGUGUCGGUCAUUGACCUCUUUACACUUGAGGCCUGCGGUUAGCAAAUGACUUCUUCGAUUUAAUCUAACCCUAUUUAAUGAUUGAUCAUCGAACUUGAGAUAGGUCUCAAGAUAUCGAGAUGUGAACAAUC